rnacentral:rRNA from 1 species
UAUCUCUGUAGAGUCUGCAUAUCAAUAAGCGGAGGAAAAGAAACUAACUAAGGAUUCCCUUAGUAACGGCGAGUGAAGCGGGAAGAGCUCAAAUUUGAAAUCUUCAAGGUUUUACCUUGACGAAUUGUAGUUUAAAGAAGUGUUUUCUGUUGGUGUUUUGGUAAAAGUUCUUUGGAAUAGGACAUCAUAGAGGGUGAGAAUCCCGUAUUUGACCAUUAUUUCCAGCUUUGUGAUACACUUUCAAAGAGUCGGAUUGUUUGGGAAUGCAGUCCAAAAUGGGUGGUAGAUUUCAUCUAAAGCUAAAUACUGGCGAGAGACCGAUAGCGAACAAGUACCGUGAGGGAAAGAUGAAAAGAACUUUGAAAAGAGAGUUAAACAGUACGUGAAAUUGUCAAAAGGGAAGCGUUUGACACCAGUGUUGUUUUCUCGAAAAUCAAUUAAAAAAGGCAGGAUUUUGUGUUGUAUUGACUUUAUCAGCUUUCUGCACUCUUUUCUUGUCUUUUUUAAUGCACUUUUCGUUUAACAAGUCAACAUCAAUUUCUUUUGUUGUAAAAGGGUCAUUGGAAGGUGGCUUUCUUUUCGGAGAAAGUGUUUAAAGCCUUUGGCCUCUGCAAUCGGAGAGAUUGAGGUCUGCAGCGUAGAUCCUUCGGGGUUAGAUACAUUUGUGCUAAGUUAUAGCCUUUCAUAGACAACUUGUUGACUAUGAUCAGUCAUGUAGCUUACUCGCUUAUGCUAUUUUACCUACGCUUAGGAUGUUGAAGAUGUAGCACAUCAU